UCUCAUUCCCUCGUUAUCCCUCUGUGUAUUUAAGCCCUGUGUUUCUCUUUGUCAGUGUCGUAGUCUCCUUCAUGCUGUGUGUGAUUCUCCCUGUGGUUCCUGGUAUACUUUAUGUUUAGCGUUCCCAGUUUAGUUUAGUACUGUUUUCGUGUUCCACUUUUUGCCAGCAUUAAAGCUGUGUUUUUGAGUUUACGUUUUGUCUCCGUGAGUUUGCGUUUGGGUCCUCUCCUGCCUGCCACACAGCCGAAUCAUGACAUCCUGCUGUGCUGAACCCCUUGAGUUGGCCUCCUGUAUCCAUUUUUUCAUGAUAGGAUCGGAUUGAAACACAAACAUGACAGUGUUAUCAGGAGCACAGACUGGGAUGAUGACUGUUUUCAGAUUAAAGCUGUUUCUCUCUAUUCAAGUGUAGAAUUUGGUAACAGUUUAAAAAAAGGAGCUCAGCAUCUGUCAGUGUGCGUCCAUCCAGAGUCCAGCUGUACUGAAGACUGUCCCCUCCCUCAGAGAAGCAGGACACCCUCCUCUCUCCCAGGGACAGACACUCAGAGACCAGCAGGACAGAGGACACAGGAGCUGAGACAAAUAGACACAGAUGACUAUUGAUUUUAAGAUGCGCGUUAUUAUUUAUAUUGUCCAAUGAAGAACAGGGAAAAUACAAAAUACAUGAAAUUUUGUGAAAUAUAUAAAUUACCAAAAAACUAUUAUGUGUGUGUUUAUAUAUAUAUAUAUAUAUAUAUAUAUAUAUAUAUAUGUGUGUGUGUGUGUGUGUGUGUGUGUGUGUAAUUGUUGUCAAUUUCCCAUAGAGGAUAGUUAUUAUUGUUAUUUUUUUAUUAUUAUUAAAGUAUUUUAACAUUUAAUAUUUACUAUUAAUGUUUACCUUGAAUACAAAAGGUUAAAAAAAUAUGUUUAGAUUUUACAUCAAAAUCUAAUUCGUUAUAGUCUCAAAUGAAAAAUAAAUUUCACAAUGUUAAAUUUCUAUCUAUAAAUUGUCAUCAUUUCCCAAUCGGAGAAAAAUUUACUCUCAUUAUUUACCUUUAAUAAACAACUGUAAAGUCUGCUCGCCUGUUGAUCUUCCAUCUGAAUCAAAGGUUUGAAGGGUAUAAUUACCACUGUCAUUCCUGCUCAGGUCACUGAGCCUAAAUGUCCCAUUAAAGGGGAGAAUGACUGAUCUAUCUUGUACUAUAUUAGAAAUAACCUUAUUAUUUCUGACAUCUAGUAUUUUUAAUGAAUUCUUUAACAGUUUGUAUCUUGUUAUUUUUGAGGUGCUGUCCAUCAGCUGGAUGUCCACAGUUCCUCCCAAAGCUCCAUAACACAGAGCUCCAUCCUGUCUGCCAUCACAACUGAACACAGUUAUGUUCCCCUUGGGAAGCACCUUCAAAAACUUCAUUUCACGGCCACUAGCAUUAGUCAUCACUUGGAUAUACACAGUUCCUUUAAGAAGAGGAGAGCAUGGACAUGUGUUCUUGGUAAGAUUACAUGUGGUCUCAUCAACUGGAAAGAAAGCUGGAAAAGAUGCAUUCAAAAGAUUGUGAGUUUAAAUUAUUCACACUCCAAAUGUACAUUUUUGGCAUCAUUUUGAGGACAAUCUUACCAUGAGUUCCUGCUACUACUAGCAAAAGGAUUAGAAACUGCUCCAUGAUCCUUAUUCAUCCACGCUUUGGUUUGAAUCUUGAAAAGUAAAUUUAAAAAAAUGCACUUUAAAAAUGAAAUGAAAUUAUGAGCAAAUCUGGCUAUAAAUCUGCUGGGACCUUUAGUUCACACUGAAACAGUAAAUGGGUGAUGAUGUAGACACAGUAUUUUUGUAAAAAGAAUAAAAUAAGCUAAACUGUCUUACUUCUCCUUCUCAUUUUCCUCUCCCUGUUUUAAUUGUACUUGCAAAACUGAGUCUAGACAACACUGUAUCUGUUGUGGCCAUUUUUGUUGAAUGUUUAUAAAAUGCAAUUUGUAUUCAUUUUUGUUUUUUCUUUAAAGGUGUAAGAAUAUACUGACCUGGUUUUGUUAUGUAAAUUUGUAAUAAAUUUUAUUGGAGAAGCUUUUGGAAAGCUUUUGGUUUAUUAGCUUAUGGACCCUCCCAUUAAUCAAGAGAUUAAGAGCACCCUGGAUGGGUGUGGUAAAGAGGUUUUUUGUUUGCCAAAUGUCAGAUGGGAAGACGGGAGGGUUAGAAAAUGAUUUUUGGAACACUUUUGAAGUUGUUAAAGCAAAUUAAGUUAACUUUCAUUUAAUUUUAAGUUUUAAGAAGUUAUUUGGCUGAUUUCUGUUUGUAAUUUUCCACGA
ensembl:lncRNA